AUGCAGAAUAAGUCCAAGAAGGUCUUUUUGUUGCAAGCUUAUAAGCCAAUGGGCCUCGGUAUCGGAAAUCGCGCCUUUACCGAAGGAGAUGGAAGAGGUUUGAACGAAACUCAUAGAAACGAAUCCGAAGAUGAUGAUGAUAUCGAUGAAUUGAAAAUUGAUGCGCUUGAGGGAUUGAUGUCGCAGAGAGAGGAAAGAAACUUGAUAUUUUUUGAUUCAAAUACGAGGCAAGAUAAAUUGGUCUCGGCCGUAUAUUUACGACUACCAGCGUAG